rnacentral:rRNA from 1 species
GGAAUCUUGCGCAAUGGGCGAAAGCCUGACGCAGCCAUGCCGCGUGAAUGAUGAAGGUCUUAGGAUUGUAAAAUUCUUUCACCGGGGACGAUAAUGACGGUACCCGGAGAAGAAGCCCCGGCUAACUUCGUGCCAGCAGCCGCGGUAAUACGAAGGGGGCUAGCGUUGCUCGGAAUUACUGGGCGUAAAGGGAGCGUAGGCGGACAUUUAAGUCAGGGGUGAAAUCCCGGGGCUCAACCUCGGAAUUGCCUUUGAUACUGGGUGUCUUGAGUAUGAGAGAGGUAUGUGGAACUCCGAGUGUAGAGGUGAAAUUCGUAGAUAUUCGGAAGAACACCAGUGGCGAAGGCGACAUACUGGCUCAUUACUGACGCUGAGGCUCGAAAGCGUGGGGAGCAAACAGGAUUAGAUACCCUUG